rnacentral:rRNA from 1 species
UACGUAGGGGGCAAGCGUUGUCCGGAAUUAUUGGGCGUAAAGCGCACGUAGGCGGUUUGUUAAGUCGGAUGUGAAAUCCCUCGGCUCAACUGAGGAAGUGCAUCCGAAACUGGCAGGCUUGAGUACUAAAGAGGGUCGCGGAAUUCCCGGUGUAGAGGUGAAAUUCGGUAGAUAUCGGGAGGAACACCGGUGGCGAAGGCGGCGACCUGGGUAGAUACUGACGCUGAGGUGCGAAAGCGUGGGGGAGCAAACAGG